rnacentral:rRNA from 1 species
UACGAGGGGGCAAGCGUUGGUUCGGAAUUAUUGGGCGUAAAGGGUGCGGUAGGCGGUGCGGUAAGUCUGUUGUGAAAUCUCCGGGCUCAACUCGGAGUCUGCAUCAGAAACUGCCGUGCUGGAGUGUGGGAGAGGUGAGUGGAAUUCCGGUGUAGCGGUGAAAUGCGUAGAGAUCGGAGGAACACCGGUGGCGAAGGCGGUUCUCUGGGCCUGUACUGACGCUGAGGAGCGAAAGCGUGGGGAGCGAACAGG